rnacentral:rRNA from 1 species
CAAUAAGCGGAGGAAAAGAAACUAACAAGGAUUCCCCUAGUAACUGCGAGUGAAGCGGGAAAAGCUCAAAUUUAAAAUCUGGCGGUCUCUGGCCGUCCGAGUUGUAAUCUAGAGAAGUGUUAUCCGCGCUGGACCGUGUACAAGUCUCCUGGAAUGGAGCGUCAUAGAGGGUGAGAAUCCCGUCUUUGACACGGACUGCCAGGGCUUUGUGAUGCGCUCUCAAAGAGUCGAGUUGUUUGGGAAUGCAGCUCUAAAUGGGUGGUAAAUUCCAUCUAAAGCUAAAUAUUGGCGAGAGACCGAUAGCGAACAAGUACCGUGAGGGAAAGAUGAAAAGAACUUUGGAAAGAGAGUUAAACAGUACGUGAAAUUGCUGAAAGGGAAACGCUUGAAGUCAGUCGCGUUGGCCGGGAAUCAACCUUGCUUUUGCUGGGCGUACUUUCCGGUCGACGGGUCAGCAUCAAUUUUGAUCGUUGGAUAAAGUCUGGAGGAAUGUGGCAUCUUCGGGUGUGUUAUAGCCUCUGGUCGCAUACAACGGUUGGGAUUGAGGAACUCAGCACGCCGCAAGGCCGGGUACUCGUACCACGUUCGUGCUUAGGAUGCUGGCAUAAUGGCUUUAAUCGACCCGUCUUGAAACACGGACCAAGGAGUCUAACAUGCCUGCGAGUGUUUGGGUGGAAAACCCGAGCGCGUAAUGAAAGUGAAAGUUGAGAUCCCUGUCGUGGGGAGCAUCGACGCCCGGACCAGACCUUUUGUGACGGUUCCGCGGUAGAGCAUGUAUGUUGGGACCCGAAAGAUGGUGAACUAUGCCUGAAUAGGGUGAAGCCAGAGGAAACUCUGGUGGAGGCUCGUAGCGAUUCUGACGUGCAAAUCGAUCGUCAAAUUUGGGUAUAGGGGCGAAAGACUAAUCGAACCAU